rnacentral:rRNA from 1 species
AUUGAACGCUGGCGGCAUGCUUUACACAUGCAAGUCGAACGGCAGCGCGGGCUUUGGCCUGGCGGCGAGUGGCGAACGGGUGAGUAAUGCAUCGGAACGUGCCCAGUAGUGGGGGAUAGCGCGGCGAAAGCCGGAUUAAUACCGCAUACGACCUGAGGGUGAAAGCGGGGGACCGAAAGGCCUCGCGCUAUUGGAGCGGCCGAUGUCGGAUUAGCUAGUUGGUGGGGUAAAGGCUUACCAAGGCGACGAUCCGUAGCUGGUCUGAGAGGACGACCAGCCACACUGGGACUGAGACACGGCCCAGACUCCUACGGGAGGCAGCAGUGGGGAAUUUUGGACAAUGGGGGCAACCCUGAUCCAGCCAUGCCGCGUGCGGGAAGAAGGCCUUCGGGUUGUAAACCGCUUUUGUUCGGGAAGAAAGCCUGUGGGCUAAUACCCCGGGGGGAUGACGGUACCGGAAGAAUAAGCACCGGCUAACUACGUG